CCGCUUGAUCAACGAAACCUAAAACCCAUUCGCAUCAGACGGUAUCCCGCCCCUGCUCUCCCAUUCACUCAAUUUCCACCAUCACGUUGAUUUUCAAUUUCACCCCUUCGAUCAUUCUCAUAUCGAUCAGAUCGGUGGAGUUUGUGUCAAUCCUCACGAAUCACCGAACGGAAAAUUUUCAAUUUUCAAAUACACCGACACAGAGCGCGUUAAACACGAACUGUUCUUCGCAAUCUUCGUCCACUUUGCUCCGCCUUAUGAGUUCAGGAUUCCGGAGCUGAUUCGGGUCCUAGCUAGCUAGUUCCUAUAAAUAGCACAUAUAACAUAUGGCUGGGGAGGAGCAAAUUAAAUCAUAUCGGAUGAAAGGGGGUUCAGUAUGUGAUUUACUCAAAUGACCCAGUGAUCGUGGCUUUCGAAUAAAAGAAAGAAGAGAUCGACGAUUCUACUUAAUUAAUUUACUGACGCUGAGGUGAUUUGUGGUGGGAUUCGGAGAGAUUGAAGAGAACUGUAGGAUUCAUCAAUAGGUAUUUGAUUUGGAUUUUUUAAAAUGAUAUUUAGCUGAGAUUGAGUAUAUCUUAUAAUUGCCAUCUUUAGAAGAAAAUUAAACAUUAAGCAAUAUUGAGGUGAAUGACAUUAUAUUAUCUUUCAUCCUUAAACGUCAACCAAGAAGACCUCUAAAGAAAAAAGAUUCCUUAAAUUGUUGAAUUGGCAAUAAAAAAAAUGUAAAUUUGCUCAUGUUUGAACAAUCAUAUUGGGAGUAUAAAAGAUAUCCUUUGUUAUUUGUU